ACGGACCGGGCCUAAGUUCCC
rnacentral:snRNA from 1 species